CCUACGGGGGGCAGCAGUGGGGAAUAUUGGACAAUGGGGGGAACCCUGAUCCAGCCAUGCCGCGUGUGUGAAGAAGGCCCUCGGGUUGUAAAGCACUUUCAGUGAGGAAGAACGCCUGGUGGUUAAUACCCAUCAGGAAAGACAUCACUCACAGAAGAAACACCGGCUAACUCCGUGCCAGCAGCCGCGGUAAUACGGAGGGUGCGAGCGUUAAUCGGAAUUACUGGGCGUAAAGCGCGCGUAGGUGGCUUGAUAAGCCGGUUGUGAAAGCCCCGGGCUCAACCUGGGAACGGCAUCCGGAACUGUCAAGCUAGAGUGCAGGAGAGGAAGGUAGAAUUCCCGGUGUAGCGGUGAAAUGCGUAGAGAUCGGGAGGAAUACCAGUGGCGAAGGCGGCCUUCUGGACUGACACUGACACUGAGGUGCGAAAGCGUGGGUAGCAAACAGGAUUAGAUACCCGGGUAGUC
rnacentral:rRNA from 1 species